rnacentral:lncRNA from 1 species
AGAGGAUGUUUCAUUAAUUUCGUAACACAUAGUCAAGCCCAAACCUUGCACAGAUUCCACUUAUUUGCUUUGCUGAAGCAAUCAUCUUGAUAGAAGAAUUACAGGGGAUGUAUUUAUAUUUAGCCCAUUGGUGCAGGUGUGUACAAACUUGCUCAAGUGAACAAGUCCUUCAGUUAUGCUGAGUCUAUACCUAUGCACAUCACUUUGAGCUUAAUUUUUCCAGGUUCCAAUGAAGGUACAGGUUUAAUUCUAUAGACUUGCAAAUAAACAAAAAUCACCUUUGUGUGCUUCCUUCAUUGUCCCUAAUGAAUCACAUGGCCCAUAACUUUUAUACCCUUGAAAAUGUGCUAGAACCUGAGUCAUCUUUCUAUGGAGCUGGCAUCAGGUAUAUCUGAACAAUGGCUUUGGUGCUCAGCUUACAUUUAGAUCACAUCUGUGUGAGUACAGAUAACAAUGGACCCGAUAAAAAUGUUGCUUCUGCUCUAAUUGAAAUACUUCAUCUCUAUGGCUGUACAUUAGGCCUUUAAACACUGAUCCAAGGCUUUGGAACUGGGACUAUGGCCACUAAAGUAAAGUAAAACAUAGAGAAUAUUCUAGACCUUGUCCUGGCAUUUGCCUGGCUUUAGUGAUACUGGUGAGAGAAGGGAGACAUUUAAUAAAAUAUAUCAACUCCUAGAGCAAACUCUUGAUUUUAAAAAAGUUAACUUUGUUAGGUAAAUCCUUUACAAGAGAUGAAUUAGUUAAAAAAGAAAAGUUUAGAUGUUGGAAUUCUGCAGCAUAAUUUGGAGGCUGUUAGUUCUGUAUAAAUGAAAAUUAUUUUUUGAAAUGAGUCUGAAAAGUAAUUUAGAAAGUAAGUUUCUGGAGCAAAUUCUGGCCUUUAUUUGCUAAGUGAGGCUCCUUUGCCCUGUGAAAUAAAUUUUCAAUUAUACUUUACUAUAUAAAGAAAAAAGAAAUUUGGAAUUUUAAAGGUCCUGGUGUAUUAUUUUAAGUUUAAUCCAACCAAAUAACUCUGGUCACACAAUCAAAUGGUUUUAUUCUAGGUGCUUGUCUGCAUUUUAUCAAAGAUUCAUUUUCAGGGCAGAUGCUAGGGAACUAAGGCACAUACUUUGGCUUAAGUGAAUCCAGAGAGCUGGUCCACUCCCUCUCCAGACAGCCCCAUCCUCUCGAGUUUGUGUUUCCACUGUAAAUUCUUAUACGUAAAUUUAAAUAAAAGAAGGAAUCCUAUA